rnacentral:tRNA from 1 species
GGACAGGUGUCCGAGCGGUCUAUGGAGACGGUCUUGAAAACCGUUGUGGUGCAAGCCACCGCGAGUUCGAAUCUCGCUCUGUCCGCAA